CCUACGGGUGGCAGCAGUGAGGAAUAUUGGUCAAUGGGCGGGAGCCUGAACCAGCCAUGCCGCGUGAAGGCGAGUGCCCUACGGGCGUUAAACUUCUUUUGUGCGGGAGCAAUAAGGGCCACGUGUGGCCCGAUGAGAGUACCGCACUAAUUAGCAUCGGCUAACUCCGUGCCAGCAGCCGCGGUAAUACGGGGGAUGCGAGCGUUAUCCGGAUUUUUUUGGUUUAAAGGGGGCGUAGGCGGGGCUUCAGGUCAGCGGUGAAAUAUUGGGGCUCAACCCCGGGGCUGCCGUUGAAACCGGGGGGCUAGAGUUCAGAUGAGGUCGGAGGAAUGUGUGGUGUAGCGGUGAAAUGCAUAGAUAUCACGAAGAACACCGAUUGCGAAGGCAUCUGACGAAUCGGAGAUUGACGCUGAUGCACGAAAGCGUGGGUAUCGAACAGGAUUAGAUACCCUUGUAGUC
rnacentral:rRNA from 1 species